UUCCUGGUGGCCUAGUGGUUAAGGGUCUGGUGUUGUUAAUGCUGUGGCUCAGGUUCGAUCCCUGUCCUGGGAU
rnacentral:tRNA from 1 species